rnacentral:lncRNA from 1 species
AUGGCACUCACACCAAGGCUGAUGCUGUCCCCUCGGACAGGGCUGGGGCCAUGGAGGUGCUGCCCAGACGUUCCCUUACCAUCGGACUCACCUGGGAAAUGUCCAUUUGGUUCAACUGGGUGCAACUGGAACACAGGCCCUGCAGACCUUGUGCCAGGAGGAGCUACAGAUUCACCUGGUCUGGAGGCAGCAGAACAUGGAAGAUGGAUGUUGGACUUGGAGGCACGCAUAGAAGCAUAAAAAACGCUGAACAAGAAAAACCAAACAACAGAAAGUAAAACCACUGCAAGCACCAAGAACGAAACGAAAAUGAGCACAGCAAAAAAGAUUGUGGCAGCACAAAAGUCAAGAAAAUGCACGUGUGAUCAUGACUGGCCAAUCAUCAACUGAUACAACAUCCAAGAAAAACGCUCCAAUCACAGCACCUCCACGAAACUUGACGGCAAUUGUCAUGCAACCGAUUCUUAGCCUUGUUACAUGACGCCAUCAUGUCACACUGUGAACUUUGAGUUGAUUUGAACUUACGGAUGGGGGACUGUUUUCUCCACUCUCAUGUGAUUACGUGAACUUUAUUCCUAGCUCAGCGCGAGACUGUGGUGGAUUUGACUGGCCCUGGUUGGGUUGUUGGAAUUUGAUUGAAUGACAAAAGAAGAAAAGAUUUAUAUAUAUAUUUAUAUAUGUAGAGAGAGAGAGAGAGAAAGAGAGAGAGGACAAGAGUGUGGGUAAGGGCGGGGAGGAGGAGGAAGGGUGGGAGGGAUCGGGGAUUGUGGGGAGCGGGGUGGGGGGCACAGGGAGAGUCGGGUUGAGGGUGAAGACGGGCAAGGAAGAAGUUAAAACAAAAUUAAAAGGAAAAAUAUUUAUACAGCACCAGACCACAGCAUCAAUCUAAAAGCUCGGAUGAGAGAAUAGCAGUCAAAUCAUAAGAGAACGGAAAAAAACCCAAAAGGAUGGAGGAAGCGGCAGACGAACGACAUGGGCACAUCAACACACACACGCACACGCACGCACGCACACGCACACACGGUUGUUGAUGCAGACAGGUGAUACACUGUGAACAACAGCAGAACCUCACACAGGGCCACUACGGGCAUCCGUCACGCUCCGGGUAACAGGAGGGAGGGCGCAGGCAGUUUGGCGAGGGGGCCAGAAAAAAAGAAAACAGCCCCUCAAACCACCCUGGCCGGCGAGCAGGUCAGGGGAACGGGCUCUCUGCUUUGACCCCCUCCUUGGUUCUUUCUCCCCCAGGGGCUGAGCGUGCCUCACCUCCCCAGCCUUCCUGGCUGCAGCCUGUGGUCAGCAAGGGGAGCCUGACCGGCUGGCUCCCAUUUGCCGGGUGGGUCAGAGGCUGCCUAAGGUGACUGCUGUGUCUGGGGGUCCGUCUGGGAAACACUCAGCUGCCCGGGACGGUCCACACUCACGACAACCCGGCCUCCCACCCUGUCCCGGGCCCGCAGUGGCCACCGUCCCCAGGGAAGGGCUUCCCCGCUAAGAGCACCAAGAGGCUGCGGGAGGCCACGGGCCUGCCCCCUGCCGCCCAGCUUCGGCCCUCGGUCCUCAGAACCUUCAGAAAACGAGCACUCUCAGUUGUGAGAUUUAGAGUCCAUCACGGCAGUGUUCUCGGAAUUCUACAAACACGCCCUGGCACAGCUGAUUUCGUGUUUCACGGCUGCCUUACUCACUCUGCUUUGCUCCCAAGGGGGCCCAAAGUGAGGUGGGGUCCUGGCACGUGAAGCCUUUGGGAGGCUUCAAAGCUCUGACCCAGGAAAGGGUCACGGGGGAGGCUAGGGCACCCUGGAGGGUAAGUCGCAGGGAAAAGGAGAGUCCACUGGAGAGGGGCAGCUAUGGGCCUGGCUCCCUACCGGUCCCUGCGGCUGUCACCCUGCUCCUCUGCUUCUCCCCUACCCCUGCCUCCCCCUUCUUGGCUCCUUCACACCCUACAUCCCCCCACAUACAGCUUUCUAGACUGACCCUUCUCACUGUCUUCUUUACUGAUGGAGCCCUAACUGGUGCAGGCUGAGAUCCCCCUCUCGGAAGCACCAUCCAGUUAUUCCAAUUUGAGUUGUCUUGAACACGCUUCAUUCACCAUUUGGGGUCCUCUGCCCCCACCCAGGGCCCUGGGGGUCCCCAGCCCCACCCCCUCCUCCUGGUUACCCCUGAGCUUGCCCCUCAGUCCCUGGUCACCUGCAGCACCCCGGCCUGUGCCAAGCCUAUGCACCAGGCUGGUCUCCAAUGUCCCCGGCUUCUACCCACAGUGGCUCCUGCUCUCAGCUUUGGGUUUUCCCUCAGGCCGUGUGGAAGGGAAGCCUGAGACUGUGACGUGUCACUGCAGAUAAGAUACAACAUAGCUGAGAGGUGACGAUUCGAAGCCUAAAUCUGGCCCCCGGCUCUGCCUUCUCUGAGGAGCCUGGGCCUCUCUACCUGCACAGAGCCCGGCCCUGCCUGCCGUCCGGCUGUUCCUGCAGCAGAUUCCCUCCCUGAGACCAGGGCCCACCAAGGCCCGCCUGCAGCCCCAGCCCCUCCACAAGGAAAAUCCGCAGACCCACCACCCGUGAGAGCCAACUGGCAGGCCCGUGGGGCGGGAGAAGAGGCCUCAGAACUGAGGGUCAAAAGGGACUCCUAGUUG